UACGUAGGGGGCAAGCGUUGUCCGGAAUCAUUGGGCAUAAAGCGCGUGUAGGCGGACUGUCACGUCUGCUGUGAAAAGCUAGGGCUUAACCCUGGCCUUGCAGUGGAUACGGGCAGACUAGAGGUAGGUAGGGGAGAAUGGAAUUCCCGGUGUAGCGGUGAAAUGCGCAGAUAUCGGGAGGAACACCGGUGGCGAAGGCGGUUCUCUGGGCCUUACCUGACGCUGAGGAGCGAAAUCGUGGGGAGCGAACAGG
rnacentral:rRNA from 1 species